GGAAGCUGCAGCCCUAGGGUGGCUGGUGGGCUCAGCGAAUAGUGAGUGUGCCUGCACUCCACAUGACUGGAUCUGCUCCUGUCCAUCAAUUGGGUCGUAUAUAGUUCAUUUCAAGUGGGACAGAUGAGACUUCAGGGAAGCGUGGAGCAGUUCGCUGCCUCGUCCGGCCAUACCGGCUUUUUUUUUUGCCGCCACUGCUGCCGCUGUUGGCUUGUUUGUUUUGCUGCUGCCUCCCACUCUGAGCGGGACUUGCGCGGACAGAGCUAACGGCAUGGUUCCUAAUGGUGAGGCUCAAGAGCGUGCGAGGGAGGAAAAGAAAAGGAAGGGGAGCAAGCAAAUGAGUAAGAGAGCGAAAGAGAGAGCGAGAGAGAGAGAGAAUGAGAGAAAGAGAGAGAGGGGGGGAAAAGUCCCGGUCCUCUCUGUGCCACACCAACUUUUUUGCGUGUGUGCAAGUACUUACAGGAAGUUAUUGUUCCUGCUGCCAGACACAUUGGUUGGGGCAAAUGGGUUUUUUUUUUUUUUUUUUUAAAACUGUCCCCUCCCGCCCUUUUUUAUGCUGUGCAGUCUGUCUCCCGGUUAUUUGCUGUCUUGACAGAUCUCCCUUUUCCAACGUGGCUGGUGUGACGCUGGGGAGACCUUCAGCGGAGUACUCUCUCUCACCAUCAGGGCUUUUUGGACACCGUGAAAUCAGACCGCCUGAUAUUACUUCUCCAAGAAACAUCGCUGAGGAUGCUCUAGAGACUUAGCUUGUAAGUCUACUGUUGUCUGUCAACUGCCACUGGGAACCUGCUGACAAAGCAGUUUGAUGUGUGUCCUUCCUAGCUUGAUACCUGACAGCAUUCAAGUGUCAGCUCAGCCAGGGCAGUAGCACUGGAUUCAGGAAGGUUCCAUCUGAGCAAUUGCAUUUUGGCUUAUUGUGAGCCAGUACAAAAUGCGGAACUUCGAAUGGAGAAACAUCAGCCCUAUAGCCGAACUGCUUGCUGUGGGCACUUGUAGCAUCUCUGCAGCAGGAGCUGCGCAAAGACUUUCUUUAUUCAUGCGCUGACUGUAACGACAGCUGCCCACUGUCAACUAGAGGUGUCCCACACGUGGACAGCUGAUUUAUGCAAAUAAAAGGAUGUGUGAUCAGUGAACA
rnacentral:lncRNA from 1 species